rnacentral:rRNA from 1 species
CCUACGGGAGGCAGCAGCGAGGAAUUUUGCGCAAUGGGCGAAAGCCUGACGCAGCAACGCCGCGUGGGGGAUGAAGGCCUUCGGGUUGUAAACCCCUUUUCUUGGGGACGAUGAUGACGGUACCCAAGGAAUAAGCCUCGGCUAACUACGUGCCAGCAGCCGCGGUAAUACGUAGGAGGCGAGUGUUGUCCGGAUUUACUGGGCGUAAAGAGCGCGUAGACGGCCGGCUAAGUCUGGGGUGAAAUCUCCCGGCUAAACUGGGAGGGGGCGCCGGAUACUGGUCGGCUUGAGGGCAGCAGAGGGAAGUGAAAUUCCCGGUGGAGGGGUAAAAUGCGUAGAUAUCGGGAGGACCACCAGUGGCGAAGGCGGUUCUCUGGAU